ACUGAAUAGAUACCCAGGUAGUCCCAGCCGUAAACGAUGCUCGCUAGGUGUCAGGCAUGGCGCGACCGUGUCUGGUGCCGCAGGGAAGCCGUGAAGCGAGCCACCUGGGAAGUACGGCCGCAAGGCUGAAACUUAAAGGAAUUGGCGGGGGAGCACAACAACGGGUGGAGCCUGCGGUUUAAUUGGACUCAACGCCGGACAACUCACCGGGGGCGACAGCACUAUGUAGGCCAGGCUGAAGACCUUGCCUGAAUCGCUGAGAGGAGGUGCAUGGCCGUCGCCAGUUCGUACUGUGAAGCAUCCUGUUAAGUUCAGGCAACGAGCGAGACCCGUGCCCACUGUUACCAGCAUGUCCUCCGGGACGAUGGGUACUCUGUGGGGACCGCCGGUGUUAAAUCGGAGGAAGGUG
rnacentral:rRNA from 1 species